GAACGCUCAAAUUGGAUCCUGGCAUGUUAGCACUUAUGCAAGAUAUAGUGGAAGGGUAAAUUUGUGGAAUCACACAAUCUCACCUCUUACUUACCAAUGCUCUUUCCUGUUCUCAAGGACAGUGAAUUGUGCUAGUGUAGCAGCUCAAAAGAAGUGAUUCCGAGGUCGCAAGGAUUAUGAGUCAAAUGUCCUUGUUUCAAUUUUUGGUGGAGCUAUAGGUGGCUAAACAAGAGAGGCUACGGUACUAAAAAUCAAGUGAUUUGAUGUGCUCAAAAGGUAUAAUGUUGCUGGUAUAUAAAUCCCCAAGAAUCCGAAUAUGUAAACUGAAUUUUCAGUAAGUAAACCGCAAUACAACCCCCUUUCCUCUUCUUCUAUUUUUCUGUUCUUUAUCUUUUCUUUUCUCUUAAUUUUUUUGUUUCUGAUUUUUUGAACUCUUUUUUAUACUAACAGGGGUGCAGAUAACAAAUGAAACAUGUAUAUGUAAAGAGGGUGACUAGCAACUUGAUGAACACAAAAACACAAGAUAACAGUACCGCCAAAGGGCUUUAGGUUUUUUUGUGGCUUUUUCAGUGGACUAUAGGUGAUGAACAAAACAGUAACAAACGAUAGAUAAACUAAAAGUAGAUAUAUGGAUG
rnacentral:lncRNA from 1 species